GAAGCGAUCUGAUUGGUUGCUAUGGGCAACUGGGCAACUUUUCCUCUGGACAGGUUUUGAUAAAUCUCCCCCAGUGUCCCAAAUGGAGCCGCCCCUUACUUGGUGUCUAAAGGAGCAGCUAACCCUGGCACAGUUGGUCCAAAUCCUGCGCUCCGUUCUUGGAUGUGUUGUUGGUUGCUGAAGUACGUCCGUUCCGUAAAUCCAUAGCGGGCAACACUAUCCUUAGGGCCGACUCCUGUCACUCUAAACACACCAUUGAGUGUAUUCCAGUUGGAGAACUUCUCCGUGUUAAACGGAACAGCUGUGCUGAGCUAGUGUAUCAGGAGGAGGCUAAUUCCGUGUGCACCCGUCUGAAACAACGUGGUUACCCGAAUUAGACUUUAGACCAGACCGACAAACGGGUGGAUCCCCUGAACAGAUCAUCGUUAUUGAGAAAUUAGGAUCAAAAUCAGCGUGCAAGCCCACUCGCCACCUCAAGGCCACCUGACGAGAGUGGGUCCAUAACAUAAUACUGGCGUAAUGCCGAGAGGUGACCACCACCGCUACAACACCAAGCAUUCUCCCAGCCCUCUGACAAGGAGCACAUGAUUCUGGUCGGAUAUGAAGAUUGUGUUUAUACACAGAAGCCCGGUUGUUUAUAUGGCGCUUUAUACGGUAUUACGUCAUGGUAUGGAUUACAUGUCUUAAGUUCUGCAAUAAAGACGUUAAAUGAAGAAAGCAGCGGCACAAUAGUAUUGUGUAUGAGUGAUUUAUGCCGCGCGCGUCGCAGAUAGAAUUACCUAUUAAGGACGGCAGAAGUGUCAUUGAAC